rnacentral:rRNA from 1 species
UACGUAGGGUGCAAGCGUUGUCCGGAAUUAUUGGGCGUAAAGAGCUCGUAGGCGGUCUGUCGCGUCUGCUGUGAAAACUCAGGGCUUAACCCUGAGCUUGCAGUGGGUACGGGCAGACUAGAGUGCGGUAGGGGAGACUGGAAUUCCGUGGUGUAGCGGUGAAAUGCGCAGAUAUCAGGAGGAACACCGGUGGCGAAGGCGGGUCUCUGGGCCGUAACUGGACG